rnacentral:rRNA from 1 species
UGGGGAAUAUUGGACAAUGGGCGCAAGCCUGAUCCAGCCAUGCCGCGUGAGUGAUGAAGGCCCUAGGGUUGUAAAGCUCUUUCACCGGUGAAGAUAAUGACGGUAACCGGAGAAGAAGCCCCGGCUAACUUCGUGCCAGCAGCCGCGGUAAUACGAAGGGGGCUAGCGUUGUUCGGAUUUACUGGGCGUAAAGCGCACGUAGGCGGACUUUUAAGUCAGGGGUGAAAUCCCAGAGCUCAACUCUGGAACUGCCUUUGAUACUGGAAGUCUUGAGUAUGGUAGAGGUGAGUGGAAUUCCGAGUGUAGAGGUGAAAUUCGUAGAUAUUCGGAGGAACACCAGUGGCGAAGGCGGCUCACUGGACCAUUACUGACGCUGAGGUGCGAAAGCGUGGGGGAGCAAACA